GUGCAAGCUUCUGCAUUCCCUCAGGAACAUCACGGGCAGCCACCACAUUUGGAUGGUUCAGCCUCUUCAUGAUCUGUAUCUCCAGCGCCCAGCGGUCACGGUUGCGCGGGCUCAGCUCCUGCCGGCACUGCUUGAUGGCCACCUGCUCGCCGGUCUCCUUGUUGUGCCAGCGGAUGACGUUGCCGAAGCCGCCGGUACCCAGGCGCUCCUUCAUCUCCCAGGGACCGCAGGUCUGCGCCUGCAGAGCCGGCGGCCGGCUCAUGGCUGUGCCACAGCG
rnacentral:lncRNA from 1 species